CCUACGGGAGGCAGCAGUGGGGAAUAUUGGACAAUGGGGGGAACCCUGAUCCAGCCAUGCCGCGUGUGUGAAGAAGGCCCUCGGGUUGUAAAGCACUUUCAGUGAGGAAGAACGCCUGUUGGUUAAUACCCAGCAGGAAAGACAUCACUCACAGAAGAAGCACCGGCUAACUCCGUGCCAGCAGCCGCGGUAAUACGGAGGGUGCGAGCGUUAAUCGGAAUUACUGGGCGUAAAGCGCGCGUAGGUGGCUUGAUAAGCCGGUUGUGAAAGCCCCGGGCUCAACCUGGGAACGGCAUCCGGAACUGUCGAGCUAGAGUGCAGGAGAGGAAGGUAGAAUUCCCGGUGUAGCGGUGAAAUGCGUAGAGAUCGGGAGGAAUACCAGUGGCGAAGGCGGCCUUCUGGACUGACACUGACACUGAGGUGCGAAAGCGUGGGUAGCAAACAGGAUUAGAUACCCUAGUAGUC
rnacentral:rRNA from 1 species